AGAUACUUCGGGAGUCAAGAACUUACACCAAUCGGGUGUAUCCUCGAGCUCGGCAUGUUUGGUUAAGGGUUUUGGAUUGUAUUCUUUGCAGCAGCAGGUAGAUGAUUUUAUUUUUCUUUUUCUUUCCAAGAUUUCCAACUUCGAGACUCCCAUCUAUCUGUAUAUAUUCUUUGAUUUUCUCCUUUGUUCCAUAAGAUUUGCUUGAGUGUGAUUCUGGUUGCCGAUUCGGUUCUUGCGGGAGUCUGUUGUAAAUUGCUG
rnacentral:misc_RNA from 1 species